UGGCGGACGGGUGAGUAACGCGUGGGAAUCUACCCAGUAGUGGGGGACAACUACCGGAAACGGUAGCUAAUACCGCAUACGCCCUAUGGGGGAAAGGCUUCGGCCGCUAUUGGAUGAGCCCGCGUCAGAUUAGCUAGUUGGUAGGGUAAAGGCCUACCAAGGCAACGAUCUGUAGCUGGUCUGAGAGGACGAACAGCCACACUGGGACUGAGACACGGCCCAGACUCCUACGGGAGGCAGCAGUGGGGAAUAUUGGACAAUGGGCGAAAGCCUGAUCCAGCAAUGCCGCGUGUGUGAAGAAGGCCUGCGGGUUGUAAAGCACUUUCAGUUGGGAAGAUGGUGACGUUACCAACAGAAGAAGCACCGGCUAAAUCCGUGCCAGCAGCCGCGGUAAUACGGAUGGUGCGAGCGUUAAUCGGAAUUACUGGGCGUAAAGCGCGCGUAGGCGGCUAAGUCAGUCAGAAGUGAAAGCCCCGGGCUCAACCUGGGAAUUGCUUUUGAUACUGCUUAGCUAGAGUUUGGUAGAGGAUAGUGGAAUUCCAAGUGUAGCGGUGAAAUGCGUAGAUAUCUGGAGGAACAUCAGUGGCGAAGGCGACUGUCUGGACCAAAACUGACGCUGAGGUGCGAAAGCGUGGGUAGCAAACAGGAUUAGAUACCCUGGUAG
rnacentral:rRNA from 1 species